rnacentral:lncRNA from 1 species
CCAAAUCUCAGAAAAUCAAAUUUUCUCAACAAUAAUAAGGAAGAAUCUUCUGUGUAUGCUUUAGGCUGGAAUAAAACGUGAUCGAGGGGACCUCGCCUGAGAUUUUCUUUGUAUGCGAAUUGAAUGAAAGUUCAAAAUAUGUCUGAUCUCCUUUGUGAGCGAGGCUGGAAUAAGCGUUGAUGAGGAAUGGGGAGCCCAUUUUCACAUGAAAGUUCAAAAUAUGAGAGAUACAUCCUCAGAUCUUGCCGGAAAGCAUCUACCCACGGAAGUUGUCUGAAAUCCUUUCUCGCCGGAAAACAUCCUCAGAUCUCGCCGGAAAAUAUGUCUGAUCUCC